rnacentral:rRNA from 1 species
UACGUAGGAGGCAAGCGUUGUCCGGAAUCACUGGGCGUAAAGCGCGUGUAGGUGGAGCAGGAAGUCUGCUGUGAAAGCGCCUGGCUUAACCUGGGAAUGGCCGUCGAAACUGGCGAACUGGAGUGUGGCAGAGGGGGGUGGAAUUCCGCGUGUAGCAGUGAAAUGCGUAGAGAUGCGGAGGAACACCGAUGGCGAAGGCAGCCCCCUGGGCUGACACUGACGCUCAGGCACGAAAGCGUGGGGAGCAAACAGG